UACGGAGGGUGCAAGCGUUAUCCGGAUUCACUGGGUUUAAAGGGUGCGUAGGCGGGCAGGUAAGUCAGUGGUGAAAUCUCCGAGCUUAACUCGGAAACUGCCGUUGAUACUAUUUGUCUUGAAUAUUGUGGAGGUAAGCGGAAUAUGUCAUGUAGCGGUGAAAUGCUUAGAUAUGACAUAGAACACCAAUUGCGAAGGCAGCUUACUACACAACGAUUGACGCUGAGGCACGAAAGCGUGGGGGAUCAAAACAGG
rnacentral:rRNA from 1 species